rnacentral:lncRNA from 1 species
GCUGCCCCUGUGGCAUAUGGAAGUUCCUGGGCCAGGAUUCGAAUUGGAGCUGCAGCUGUGACCUAUGCCACAGCCAUAGCAACACGGGAUGUGAAUCAGAUCUGUGACCUACACUGCAACUCAUAGCAACGCCGGAUCCUUAACCCACUUAGAAAGGCCAGGAAUCAAACCUGCGUCCUCACAGAGACAAGUCGGUCCUUAACCCAAACUAAGCCACAAUGAGAACGCCAAAAAGGAAAACGUUCUGAAGUCUGAUUUACCAAGCACAUUUUUAAAGGGGGUGGUUAUGUUCUUGAAUUACCACCUCGAGGCUUUGGCUUCUAGAGUUCUCUGUUUCUCAAGGUCUGUGGACACUCCCUGCUUCUAGGCAAAUAGCUUCUUGACUCUGAAAUCCUUCUCUGAAAUUCUUAUCUAUUUACCAUCUUUCUUCAGAAUUCAUAAUUAAAUUCUAUGGAAAAAUACGGAACACCAAAAAAAUCAGGGUUCAAAAACCAAAUGAUCUACUUUGUCAGAAUUUUUAUUGUCCUACAAAUAAACUGUCUUCUCAGUGUCAUGUGGCAGUUCUUAUUUUAACCUUGAUCAAGAAAUCAAAGUGCAACCCUCCCCCUGUAAAGUUUUCGUUGCAUAAAUGACAGCUACUUUUUCGCUACACAAAUGACAGCUGUGUUGAACCUCUUUUUUGUAUGUUAAAUAAUACAAAAGAGAACCAAGAUUUAAGAUAAAAAGUAGAUGCACUGUCAAAUAUAAAAGAACAAAUAUUUGAAGUUUAUAAGGAUUUUGGAAAAUAGGAUUUUAGAGUCAAAGAGCUACCUGCUUAGAAACAGGGUGUCAGACAUUUGCAGGAGAAAACAAUUAGAAGGAAAACUUGAGCUAUCAUUUUAAAAAAACAACAUAAAAAAAAAAAAACAAAAAAAAUACUGGGAACUAUGAAAUAAACCCUUCUGAUAUUCUUCACAGAAAGUAGAGUUUGGAAAAUUCAAAUACUUAGCAGCAGCAGAAUUUGCAGUACGUUUAAAAUAUAAUCACUCAUUUAGGAGCUAUUAUUGAAAUUAUGAUAUGUGCUUUUUAACAUGCAAAUGAAACUCUACUAAUGAGCAAAAUAGUUUUAUAAGAGCAAACUUAAAGGAAAAAACAAAAUUAGGGUUAAAUUUUCAUCAGGAAAUAAAGGGUUGUUUUGAAUAACUCAAAAGAAAUACUAUUUACAGAAUUCCCGUUGUGGCGCAGUAGAAACGAAUCCGACUAUGAACCAUGAGGUUGCAGGUUCGAUCCCUGGCCUCACUCAGUGGGUUGAGGAUCUGGCGUUGCCAUGAGCUGUGGUGAAGGUCGCAGAUGCCACUCGGAUCUGGCCUUGCUGUGGCUGUGGCGUAGGCUGGCAGCAACAGCUCCAACUAGAUCCCUAGCCUGGAAACCUCCAUAUGCCGUGGGUGCAGCCUUAAAAAGACAAAAAAAAAAAAAAAAAAAAAAA